CCUCCCGCCGGCGCGGCUCUCCAGAGCCGCUCGCGCGCGGCUGCGCCCGCUGCCGCCUCCUCCCACCGGCGCCGCUCGCCGGAGCCGCUCCGCUCGCGCGUGGCUGCGCACCCGACGCCGCCGCCUCCCGCCGGAGCCGCCUGCUUCCCUGCUCGCGUCGCGACGAAGAGGAAGGAGAGCUGGGGUCUGCUCACACCACCACUGCCACCGCCUCGCCUCCCUCUAAAGAGCUGCUGGAUCGUGCAGUUCACCCUGGUGCUAAUUUUUGUUUGCAUCCAUGGAGUUAGGUUUAUAUCUAUUUUCGCAUUGCAUUUACAUGGAAUUAGAAUGAGGAGUAUUGAAAGAAGAAAGAUGGUGGUGGAUCAUGGGGCAGCGUCGAGGAACAUACAGGUACAUUGAUUUCUGCCCAUGCUCCCAUACUGCUUGAUAAAAUGACUCAAUUUACUGCUAUUUACUCUUUGG
rnacentral:lncRNA from 1 species